UGGGGAAUAUUGCGCAAUGGGGGGGAACCCCUGACGCAGCCAUGCCGCGUGAAUGAAGAAGGCCUUAGGGUUGUAAAGUUCUUUCGGUAUUGAGGAAGGUUGAUGUGUUAAUAGCACAUCAAAUUGACGUUAAAUACAGAAGAAGCACCGGCUAACUCCGUGCCAGCAGCCNCCGUAUGGAGGGUGCGAGCGUUAAUCGGAAUAACUGGGCGUAAAGGGCACGCAGGCGGUUAUUUAAGUGAGGAGGUGUGAAAGCCCCGGGCUUAACCUGGGAAUUGCAUUUCAGACUGGGUAACUAGAACUUNNANCGUACUUUAGGGAGGGGUAGAAUUCCACGUGUAGCGGUGAAAUGCGUAGAGAUGUGGAGGAAUACCGAAGGCGAAGGCAGCCCCUUGGGAAUGUACUGACGCUCAUGUGCGAAAGCGUGGGGAGCAAACAGGAUUAGAUACCCUGGUAGUCCACGCUGUAAACGCUGUCGAUUUGGGGGUUGGGGUUUAACUCUGGCGCCCGUAGCUAACGUGAUAAAUCGACCGCCUGGGGAGUACGGCCGCAAGGUUA
rnacentral:rRNA from 1 species